CACGUAGAAGACUAGUGUUAUUCAUCUUUAUUAGGUUUAAAGGGUACCUAGACUGGAGACCAAGCCAUAAUAGGAACUAGUCUUCUAGAGUUUUAUAAGAGAAGGGGCGAAUUUCUGGAGAAAAGUUGAUAUUUUGUGAUACUGGAAGGACGGGUAACAGCGAAGGCAACCUUUUAUGUAAAAACUGACGUUGAGGGACGAAGCC
rnacentral:rRNA from 1 species